rnacentral:rRNA from 1 species
AGAGUUUGAUCCUGGCUCAGAUUGAACGCUGGCGGCAGGCCUAACACAUGCAAGUCGAACGGUAACAGCAGGAGCUUGCUUCUGGCUGACAAGUGGCGGACGGGUGAGUAAUGCACAGGAAUCUACCCAGUAGAGGGGGACAACUCAGGGAAACUUGAGCUAAUACCGCAUACGUCCUACGGGAGAGAAAGCAGGGGACCUUCGGGCCUUGUGCUAUUGGAUGAGCCUGUGUUAGACUAGCUAGUUGGUGAGGUAAAGGCUCACCAAGGCGACGAUCUAUAGCUGGUCUGAGAGGACGAUCAGCCACACUGGGACUGAGACACGGCCCAGACUCCUACGGGAGGCAGCAGUGGGGAAUAUUGCGCAAUGGAGGAAACUCUGACGCAGCCAUGCCGCGUGUGUGAAGAAGGCUUUCGGGUUGUAAAGCACUUUCAAUGGGGAGGAAAGGUUAUUAACGAAUAAUUGGUAGCCGUGACGUUACCUACAGAAGAAGCACCGGCAAACUCCGUGCCAGCAGCCGCGGUAAUACGGAGGGUGCGAGCGUUAAUCGGAAUUACUGGGCGUAAAGCGCGCGUAGGCGGCCUGAUAAGUUGGAUGUGAAAGCCCUGGGCUCAACCUGGGAACUGCAUUUGAAACUGGGGAACUAGAGUGUGUUAGAGGGAAGUGGAAUUCAGGGUGUAGCGGUGAAAUGCGUAGAUAUCCUGAGGAACACCAGUGGCGAAGGCGGCUAUCUGGACCAAUACUGACGCUGAGGUGCGAAAGCGUGGGGAGCAAACAGGAUUAGAUCCCCUGGUCCUCCACGCCGUAAACGAUGUCAACUAGCCGUUGGAGGGGUUGUCCCUUUAGUGGCCGCAGCUAACGCAUUAAGCAUUCCACCUGGGGAGUACGAUCGCAAGAUUGAAACUCAAAGGAAUUGACGGGGGCCCGCACAAGCGGUGGAGCAUGUGGUUUAAUUCGAAGCAACGCGAAGAACCUUACCAAAUCUUGACAUCCCAUUGACCGCCAUUUAAUUUUGGCUUUUCUUCGGAACAAUGGUGACAGGUGGUGCAUGGUUGUCGUCAGCUCGUGUCGUGAGAUGUUGGGUUAAGUCCCGCAACGAGCGCAACCCUUACUUUUAGUAGCCAGCAUGUAAUGAUGGGGACUCUAGAGGGACUGCCGCGGACAACGCGGAGGAAGGUGGGGAUGACGUCAAAUCAUCAUGCCCCUUAUGAUUUGGGCUACACACGUGCUACAAUGGUAGUUACAAAGGGAAGCCAAGCCGCGAGGUGGAGCAAACCCCAAAAAAGCUAUCCCAGUUCGGAUUGUAGUCUGCAACUCGACUACAUGAAGUUGGAAUCGCUAGUAAUCGCGAAUCAGAAUGUCGCGGUGAAUACGUUCCCGGGCCUUGUACACACCGCCCGUCACACCACGGAAGUUGGAGGCACCCAACGUCAGUGACCCAACCGCAAGGAGGGAGCUGCCUAAGGUGAAAUCAAUGACUGGGGUGAAGUCGUAACAAGGUA